CGUGGAGACAGGUGGUGCAUGGCUGUCGUCAGCUCGUGUCGUGAGAUGUUGGGUUAAGUCCCGCAACGAGCGCAACCCUUACCCCUUGUUGCCAUCAGGUCAUGCUGGGCACUCUAGGGGAACUGCCCCGGUCAACGGGGAGGAAGGUGGGGACGACGUCAAGUCAUCAUGCCCCUUACGUCCUGGGCUACACACGUGCUACAAUGGCCGGUACAAAGGGAUGCAAAAUCGCGAGGUGGAGCCAAACCCAGAAAGCCGGUCUAAGUUCAGAUUGGAGUCUGCAACUCGACUCCAUGAAGGAGGAAUCGCUAGUAAUCGCGCAUCAGCACGGCGCGGUGAAUACGUUCCCGGGCCUUGUACACACCGCCCGUCACACCACGAAAACCAGCUGUACUCGAAGUCGCUGAG
rnacentral:rRNA from 1 species